rnacentral:rRNA from 1 species
UACAGAGGGUGCGAGCGUUAAUCGGAAUUACUGGGCGUAAAGCGUGCGUAGACGGCUAUCUAAGUCGGGUGUGAAAGCCCCGGGCUCAACCUGGGAACCGCGCUUGAGACUGGAGAACUAGAGUUCGGGAGAGGAUGGUGGAAUUCCCAGUGUAGAGGUGAAAUUCGUAGAUAUUAGGAGGAACACCGGUGGCGAAGGCGGCUGCCUGGACCGAUACUGACGCUGAGACGCGAAAGCGUGGGGAGCAAACAGG